GCGUGGUAAUGGAUCAGUGGUGGGCUCUUCCCUGUGGCUUCUUGUUAGUGCGCCCUCCCAAUACUGAAUUGCAGCCUGGAACCAUUGCCCAGCCUGCUUACCUGUGGGCUGUAAGCACUGAAGCGGGUUGUAUGUG